AACCCAUGUUGAGGACAUUUCCGGAGAAGAUCCUCGAACCUAUCCCAUGUCUCAAAAAGAGACUCCAAUUCCACCUGCACAAAAGAGGAUAUUUCAUUUCUGAGCUU